UAAAAAAAUUAAUAAAUCUAUUAUUGAACUAUUUUUUUACAUAUAUAUUUAUAUAAAUACGUUAACAUAGUGAACGGUUGAAAACGGAAAACUUUUUGUUGAAAGAAGUCAAGCUGCGAAAGACAGGACCAUUGCAGAACUUCAGAUAAAGCUUCAAAAGAUAAUGUCCGAAAAUCAGCAAAUUGAAAGCAAGCUGAAGCUACUUUUCACUCCGAGCCAAAUACAUAGAAUAAAAAACAACGAAAACGUAUGACUUGGUCUGAAGCCGAUGUAGCCCAGUCAAUUACGCUAUACUCUGCAAGUGCGAGAGCUUACAAGCUGCUUCGUCGAACAAAUUUCCCUUUGCCGUCCAAUAAGGACUUUACAGAGGUUUGCACAGAAGCUAGACAUUUCUCCUGGUAUCAUUGACCCGGUGCUCAAGCUAACUUAGCGAUAUUCAAAGGCUUUGCGUUUUGAGCUACGAUGAGAUGAAAGUUAAGAAGAAGUACUGCUACAACAAAUCUUUGGAUACUACUCUCUCCCGCUAAUUAUGUACAAGUAGCUAUGCUUAGAGGGCUUGUAGGAAAGUGGAAGCAGCCAGUAUAUUUUGAGUUUGACCAGCAAAUGACUAAAGCGAUCAUAUUUGACAUUAUUAAAAGAGUAAGACAGUGUAACUUUAACGUCGUGGCAGUGGUAAGCGAUCUGGGAGGUGGAAACCGCGGAUUGUUUACAGAAAUAGGAGUAACAACAGAAAAUCCCUGGUUUUUGUACGAAAAUGAAAAGGUGUUUGCUUUCGCGGAUGUUCCCCACCUUAUUAAAUUAGUUAGGAACAACUUUUUGGUUCAUGGGUUCCGGAUAGAUGGUAAAGGUGUUACCAAAGGCCUUAUAGAGAAAAUUUUAUCUCUCACAUCAACGGACGUUACUAUCACCCACAAAAUUGCAGCAAAACAUCUUCGCGUUUACGGUACCGAACGGCAAAAGGUAUCACUUGCAACGAAAUUGUUUUCUCACACGAUGGUAUGGGUGGCUUAAACGGUGAAAAUUGGAAAGAAUUGUCACGGUUAUUAAAAGGUACAAAUGAUUAGUUCGAUGUUCUCAAUGUGCGGGUUCCAAAAGAUGGUUGUCGAGAAUGGUGUCAUGGGUUUGGAUUGGCGCUUGACAAGCAGAUGUCAAUUUUAAGCCAAAUGGACGAGCUUAUAAAGCAACUCCGAGUAAUUGGAAAAUAUACUUUGCUGGCUUUUCAAAAAGGUAUUUUGCAAACAAACAAUGCUGUACGUCUGCUUUACACAGAAUUGAAGCAAAAAUACGGACUGAACUACAUACUGACCUAUAGACUGAACCAAGACAUAAUUUAAAACUUGUUUGGCCUUAUUCGAACCUUAACAACCACCCCGACCGCGAAGAGUUCCGGUUCCGGCUGCGUAACUAUUUGCUUGGAUGUAACCAAGACGCCUUGUCAAGCAACACAAACAUGCAACCAGACAACACUCCCGAUUUGGAAUCUAUUGAAAGUCCCCUUACUGGUAAUCCCUCUACGUGUAUGGCUUCUUUUAGUUCACAUCCAACUUGAUUUAAAGGAAUACUUCCACGUUCAUUUUCCAAGGAAAUAGAGAUUGGCACGAAAGAGCCGCCGACAGAUGAAGAAGAAUCUUUGGAGAUAGACGGCUUAUAGCACCUAUCCGGAUACAUCUGCUUCAGACUAAAAAAUCAAGAGCCUGAUUUGAUUGACACCAGCCAGGCCACAUUCUCGUGGGUAGAUCAUGUAUCUGAAGGAGGCUUAACCAAACCCACAGGAUGUAUGUUAGAGCACAUGACAGCCCUGAACACAAUUUUUAAGGAGACAAAUCGAGAAGGGCUUUUCCUUACGGAAGGUUACUUGCAGAAACAUCUUGAGGCAGCGAAACAUGAAGA